UACGUAGGGUGCGAGCGUUAAUCGGAAUUACUGGGCGUAAAGCGCACGCAGGUGGCUGAGUCAGUCGAUUGUGAAAGCCCUGGGCUUAACCUGGGAAUUGCAGUCGAUACUACUCAGCUAGAGUAUGGGAGAGGGCAGUGGAAUUCCCGGUGUAGCGGUGAAAUGCGUAGAUAUCGGGAGGAACAUCAGUGGCGAAGGCGAGUCCCUGGACAGGUCCUGACGCUGAGGCACGAAAGCUAGGGGAGCAAACAGGG
rnacentral:rRNA from 1 species